rnacentral:lncRNA from 1 species
UUUUUUUUUUUCCCUCUAUCUACCAUAAUCUUUCCAUUUUCUACUUUCUCUCCUAGGUAUCAACACUCACAUACCCCUGUUAAGUAUUUUAACCCCUCUGCUUAAAGUAUAAGCUCCUCGAGGGGAAGUCCCAGGUAUUAUGAAUACUCGAACCCCCUGGCAGUGCACUGCCUGUAGAUCUAAAGGACUCCGCGCACUUUAGGCUACUCGGGCUGAGUGGCAGAGAAGUUAAUGGGUGGUACCCAACCCCCAGGAGGGGUGGGCAGCAGCCACAACAAAAUCCACCCAGCAGAUCCAAAGACUUCGCACUGCUCUUGGAGUUCCCAUUGUGGCUCAUCGGUAACAAACCCAACUAGUAUCUACAAGGACAUGGGUUUGAUCCCUGGCCUUGCUCAGGAUCGAACCCACAACCUCAUGGUUCCUAGUCGGAUUCGUUAACCACUGAGCCAUGACAGGAACUCCUGUUUUCCAUUUUAAGACCCAUUUUAUGAUAAGAAAAAAGGCAACAGGCACAUCUUUUCCAAUACUGUGCCCUGAGACCGUACCACAUGCCUGGCCAUGGGGGUUGCUAUCCCGUGGGCACCGUCUCUUACGAAGGACAUCCGGCACACGUGUGAAGUCAGUGUCUUUAACUUCUCGAGCAAACGAAGAAGCGGGUGGCUAGGCAUCCAUCGCAAAGCUUCCAAUGGGCGGAGGAGGAAUUCAAACCCGGGUUUGGCCGCAGACACGAUGCCUCCCAGCUUCCCACCGUUCUGCAAGCAGCAACCAGCCCAGAAUAUCCAGACACUCCCACCAGGAAGGGAGAGCAAGCAAAGCCCCCUCCUCCGGAUUCCCCCCCCCCCCGCCCAGACAAGCUCUGCCUGCAUGUGGGGGUCUCUUCUCCUCCACCCCCCCAACCCCCGGCCCCCAGACUCCACACCCACAUCCAGGCCCACACCCUUAGCUCUGCCAACACACAGCCGUCCAGGCAUGGAAACGGUUAAGUAGCCCUCGGCGAAUAAAUCAAAAGUUCAAGGCUGCAACAUACCACAAUGAUUCCUUCUUUACAUAUGACGAGAACCAGAGAGGGGCUGAAAUCCCAAGCAUCCUGAGCGAGGUCUCCCCGGCCCGCACAGGUUAUGCCGCCAGGGUCAGGGCCGCGGACCUUUAGCGGCAACAUUCAUUUCCUGAACAGGACAAGUCCUCCUGACCAUAAAGCUAAUAGGAACUUCCUCGCACGGCGAGCUCCGGCUGACAGGGCUACUUGUCACUGGCCACGCAGGAGGAGAGCGCUGGUUCCCAUUAGUGGGUUAUGAUGCCAGGUGCUACUAAUAAGGUACAUCGGCAAGAAACAAGAGCCUGCUAAGCUGUCUCUCCAACUCUGGAAGUCAUCAGGCCUGGGCUUCGGGCUUGGGGAGGGGCCUUCUUUAAGGGGAAGGGGGAGCUUUAGCCACUGUGGACCCCCCCGGCAGCAUCUAACCUGCCGAACGGCUGAAAUCAAUACAUUUCAGACCAUCGCUCUGCAUGUCCCCCAGCUGCCAUAAAAGACUCCCCCAAAUGGACGCUCAUAGCAUUUCCCCCAGCGCUCCAGGCCUGAUGGAUCACCCAGGGCCAUUACGGUCGGCCACAUCUGCUUCUCACUAUGGCAAGGAGGGUCGUGCCAACAGGCCUAAUGGCAUUAAGAUCACAACGCUCAGUUAAUCCACUUAGAGACUGAUGCCCGGUGAGGGUGGCAGGGGACUUGGGAGGCGAGAGGCUCCCUUGUGAGGUCACAAGCGAAGCGGGGAAACAGGGAGGCGGCCUCACAUGGAGUCCCUGCUGUGGGAUCGAGGUGACAGGGUACCUCACUGAGCCUGUCUGAAUCCCAUCGAGAGGGAAGGGCUAAGCUCGCGUCACAGAACAGGAGCCUGAUGGUCAGACAAGGGAAGCCACCUGCCCCAAUUCACAAUGAGGGGCCAGCAGGCAAAGCCAAGUCUAUCUGAGAUCAGUCUGUGCCCUGGCCCUACACACCGACAGGCACAGGGUCUGGCGGUGCCUGUCUCAUUCUCAGCAUGCCUGUCUUAUAUGUUCGCUCUUAUCAUCUGGGGCAUCUAAAGGGCCCUAAAGAGGGGAGAACUGUAAACACCACUUUCAACCGGCCCACAGUGCAACCUUCCAUCAAGAUUUCUCCAGCUCCAUCUUCUAGUAAUUUCGCCAGUCAUACCCCCACUGUCUAGGGAAGUUCUUUCUCUUAUCUGACUUGGAUUUUUCCUACUGCAAAGCUGAACACAGUCUGCUCUUGCUGAAGAAAAUCAGAUCUUAAGGACAGAGUCGAAAGUGAGGGAGGAAUUUAGAAUUCAGCAGGUUUUUGUGAGUUUUUACCCGAAGUUUCCGUGCUGACGAUCAAGGACCGGAUCCCCUCUUUGCAGCUGCAGCGUUAAGCCUCACGUAGGCAAAAACCCAACCAGAGUUUUUCCAGACUGAGCCAGCAUAAUAAGGACAUGGGGGCUUUUAAGGGGAAACAGUAGAAAGGGGAAAUUCUGAUUAUGCUGGCAUGAGAUUAACAGCAUGGAAUUUUUAUUUUUGUAAGUGGGUUUCUUUUUCUCUCCCUUUUUCUGUUUUUGGAGUCAGCAUAAAAGGCCUCUAUCCCUAGAAGCUGGUCUCUCUCUGUGUGAGAGAUGGUGGAGUGCUCUUGGACCCGCGUGGCCCCGGCCCGGAAAACACAAACCUUUCGCACAGUUAAGCAGCGCCCUCCCUCCCCCCUCCUCUCUGGUCAUCAGAGGAAGCUAGUGGCCAAGUGAUGAGCCUCCUGGUCACCGGCCACAGGGAACACGGAGCUGGUCCUUCCUGUAACUCCCCCUUCCCUUCCGACUCCAUUAGGGGCUGAAGAUCCAAGCAGGACGUUAUGGAAAGAAGCAUGAACGUGGAGCCAGAAGACCUAAGCACAAAUUCUGGUGCCACCCUUCACCGGCUCACUAGGGACAAGUCCAUUAGCCUCUCGGGUUCCCCUCUGCCCAUCAGGGAACGGGAAACAAAUAUCUACCCUACAGGGCGGCUAGAGGGGUUGGGAAGAUACAAACACACUUGGCACAGAACCUGAGGCGUGUCAAGCCCUCAAAGCGCUGUUUGCUGAAUCCGCCCUUAGAAGCAUCCUGCACGGCGGAGAAGGAAUGGGAAGGGGCUCUGAAACAUGCUCCGUCCACAAGCCCAGGCUUCUCGGAAAGGAGGUGUUUGUGCUCCUAGGCUCUGCCGCCACUGCAGUGAUUUGCUGGCCUGACCACAUGCACAGGCAAGGGGACAGGGCAGUGGUGAGCUGCCUCGGCAUUUGGAACCGAUGCCAGUGGAGCGCUGCCCGGCUAAAUUUAAACGAGGACUGGGAUGACUCAUCAGGCUUCAGGUCAAUGGGACAAAGAGUACCCUGGCCACCGCGCUACAAGAGAUCAGAUUGAGGGGGAAAUUUCAGUGGUCACUGUGUAUCAGCUCCAAAUACAGGACGCCAGAGGUGGCAGCUCUUAUUUAGGUGCCGUAUAAACAAUACCUUUGGGGGAAAGCAGGACCUGGACCAACACGAACAUAAUUUUUACCCUGCACUGCCAGCUUUACAACAAUGGCAGCAAAAAUACAACAGCAAACAUUUACUUUGGGUCACCUACUUCCUAGCCAGUGCUCAGUAUUUACUGAUUAAUCCCUGUAACAACCCAGUAAGUAAGUACUGUUAUUAUUCCCAUUUCACAAAUGAGCAAACAGGCGCAAUAAGGUAAUGUCCCCAAGAGUAAUGUCAGGUAAUGUUAAGUAAUGUAACCAGAGCCACACAGCUGGUAAGUGGUCAGGUUGGGAUUCUGACCCAGAGAGUCUGACUUGCUCAAAAUGUCUAUUUACUACGUGAAACACAUGGGGUCGAAGGUGAGGGAGUGGGGGUGCCAUGGUAAGUUUUCCUUUCCACCAAAGUCAAUGCCACUGAGUCAGAGCUUUCGCCUACCACCAGCAGAACAGAACUUGACCAAGAAAAGCUUUUGUUCUUGUGGAAAAUUCCAGAACCCUCCAAUGGGCGAAGUGAGGCAGGCCUGUAUUCAUUUAGCAAGACUCAUGUCUCACACACGGGCUUUCAGCUGGACUUGUUUUCAAGUCAUUCAUUUUUAAAACUUAAAAUAAUUGGAAAUGUUUUUCCCCAAAUUAGCAACAAAUCAGAGUUGUGAACGGAGUUUCGAUUUUAACAUGUAGGAUCAUCACAAUUUGAAAGAUUCAGAGUUGUCCCAGAACAAGCAGAAGGAAAAAAAGUGUUGCUGAAUGAAAGCGUUCUUGCCCUCUCCUUCCAGCAAUUAGCAACUCCAUCCAAUAGCGACAGCAAAUUAAAAUGGGACUUCUCACCAAGAUGAGAGAGCAGGCAACUUUCUUCCACUAGAAAGAAAACUAAAGAACUCAUCUUCAAAUUUCCAAGAGUUCAGCCUAGAUCCCAGAUGACUCAGUAACCCUAAGCAGGUUAAAGUACUAAAAAAAAAAAAAAAAAAAAGGCAACGAAGUCCAAGCAGACAGAAUCAAAUCAAACUGACCCUGUUUUAGCUGGCUGACUCCCAAACCAGAUUCCAAAACAGAGCAAAAUUCAAUUAACCAAAAGGACUUCAUGAGGCUAUAAGUAAGUGCAGAAGCGGCAAACUUUUGAAAGAGUUCACCAAUUCAGAAAUAGCUCAUCCAACUGGCUAGUUUUAGAAAUGAAGACGAUAAGCUCAAGAUGAAAAAGAGACCAAUGAGAGUGACAGAGGGAGAAAAAGAAGAAAGCAAGCGAGUGAGCAAAGCCAAGCCGAGUAUGGAGACCCAGCCUCCCAAACAGCGGGCCUCAACCCCCCAGAGCCCGCUGCCAUCCUCCGCUCUUCACAACCAACGACCGACGGCUCCAAAAGACGAGCUCUCCAGGAGCCCAGGAGCUUAUAAACUUAGGUCAUUCAUCACCCCCAAAAGGAUACUUCCUGGAAACAGGAACGGUUUCAGAAAGGAUUUAGGCAAAUCUGUGAAUGACAGAGCAGCCAUAAAUAGCUCCUAAGAGAUCUGGGCUCCACCUGACCUUUAGGAUUGACGUCAAGGAAGAGACCCGUAGCCUCCAAGGGUGGUAUCUUAGGGAUGGUGUUGGCACCUUAAGACUAGGUCAGAUGGAUCUGACCCAGAACGGCAAUGCCCAUGUGCUUAUAUGGCCUGUGGAGGAGCACCCGGGACUGUGAAUCUGAGAGUGAGCUGAGCUCCUGGCCCUAACCAUUUAUAGCUAUGUGACCUUGGGCAUGUCACUUACCCAAAGUUCACGGUCCCCACCUGUAUGUUAGGGCCGAUAAUUGCCAACAAUCCUUUACUCCAAACCCUUGGGUGCUUCAGAAAUCCCAACUGUUCAGAUUUUAGAAAGGUGCUAUGGGGCCUAGAGUGUUUGCCAGUCCCAGAGUCAUCUAGGGAAGCACUCUGUAAUCAAACACAUUAAUAUUUUGGCAGCAAAACAUAUGAAUAUUCAAAAUCAGCAGGAUAAAUAUAGCCUCGCAUCAGUUCAGAUCAGGUUUUGCUACUAAAUGAGUUUGCGGCCAACUUACACAAAUCCUUUUAGCUUUCAGAGCUUCUCAGACUUCACCAUCCCAGAUAUGGAAUGAGGGACCCGCACCCCCUGAGGGGAGGCUGUGAGUUAAGCAAGAGCAAGUCACUGAAGGCGCUUUGCAAAGGAAAAAGUGGGACAACCAAGAAAAGAUAUUAUUAAUAUUAUCACCGUUGCUAUCCUUACGCCCCAGCACACUCGUGUCCAAACAGAAUUCGGUUUGACCUCAGAGAUGCCUGAAGCUGGCAGAAGGAUGAAAGGGGAUCAAAAGUUCAGGACAACUUCUAAAUUCCCCUAAACUGAGGUCAAUGGCUCUUGGCCCUCUACAAGGUCAACCACCGAAAACCAAGCAGCUGGCCACCCGAAAGGGGUCAAGACAAAGGGCCAGGCAGAACCCUGACGUCUCCACGACAUGGUCCAUGCACCCUACUGCUGGCCCCGGAAACCACUGAGAAGGUCUGCACACCUGAGUACAGGGAGUGGGCUGGGACCAGCUCUGUGGCUCCUGACAUCCCUUCACGAAUCAGGCAAGAGUUCCUACUGCGUGUAGGCAGGACACACACCAGAGCUGGUCCCCGGGCUCGUCUGUAGAAGAUCCAGAGGCUCCUGGGAAACCAGACCCGACUCUGAUGCUGCAGCUAAAUUCAGAAACAUAGUAAGACUAGGCUAAGAGUUCCCUUGGUGGCACAGCGGGUUAGGGAAUCCAGAGGUUAUCACCACAGUGGCUUAGGUCACUCCUCUGGCUGUGGCAUGGGUUUGAUCCCUGGCAUGGGAACUUCUGCAUGCUGCAAGUGUAGCCAAAAAGAAAAAGACCAGGCUAUACAAGCCUGUGGAGACUGAGGACUAUGAGGGCUGUGUUGACACUUAAGUAACCACACUGUCCCCAUCAUUUUAUCACGUCUAAGUACAUAACCCUGAGAAGGAGAGCG